GGGCUAAAUACACCUUAUAUGGCCAUAUAUGCAAAUGUUUUGAAUAAAUAAUAUCUUUAGUCAAAAAUCCAGUCAGCUGAAACCGCUAAUAUCGAAUCACGAUAGUCUUCAUAUCAUUUAUUAAAAUAAGACCUCUCUACAGUUAUAAAUAUUAGCAAUCCCAUCAAUAUGGAUUCCAGUAAUAUAGUGCUUGUAGUAUGAACUCUAUAUCUAUGUGAUCAAAAUAUAUAGAGCUCAUCAUUAGUUCACUUUAUAGUCUCAAAUGA
rnacentral:lncRNA from 1 species